UACGUAGGGUGCGAGCGUUACUCGGAAUUACUGGGCGUAAAGCGUGCGCAGGCGGUUGUGCAAGACAGAUGUGAAAUCCCCGGGCUUAACCUGGGAACUGCAUUUGUGACUGCACAGCUGGAGUGCGGCAGAGGGGGAUGGAAUUCCGCGUGUAGCAGUGAAAUGCGUAGAUAUGCGGAGGAACACCGAUGGCGAAGGCAAUCCCCUGGGCCUGCACUGACGCUCAUGCACGAAAGCGUGGGGAGCAAACAGG
rnacentral:rRNA from 1 species